rnacentral:tRNA from 1 species
UGUGCUGUGGUGUAGUGGUUAUCACAUCUGCUUCACGCUUAGAAGGCUUCCGGUUCGAUCCCGGCCAGACCUG